rnacentral:rRNA from 1 species
GGUCCUACGGGGGGCAGCAGUGGGGAAUUUUGGACAAUGGGCGCAAGCCUGAUCCAGCUAUUCCGCGUGUGGGAUGAAGGCCCUCGGGUUGUAAACCACUUUUGUAGAGAACGAAAAGACACCUUCGAAUAAAGGGUGUUGCUGACGGUACUCUAAGAAUAAGCACCGGCUAACUACGUGCCAGCAGCCGCGGUAAUACGUAGGGUGCGAGCGUUGAUCGGAAUUACUGGGCGUAAAGGGUGCGCAGGCGGUUGAGUAAGACAGAUGUGAAAUACCCGCGCCUCACUCGGGACAGGCAUAUGUGG